rnacentral:rRNA from 1 species
GAUGAACGCUAGCUACAGGCUUAACACAUGCAAGUCGAGGGGCAGCAUGAAGUCAGCUUGCUGACUUUGAUGGCGACCGGCGCACGGGUGAGUAACGCGUAUCCAACCUUCCCCUUACUCAGGAAUAGCCCGUUGAAAGACGGAUUAAUGCCUGAUGUUCUCUAUUUCCGGCAUCGGUAAUAGAGCAAAGAUUCAUCGGUAAGGGAUGGGGAUGCGUAUGAUUAGCUUGUUGGCGGGGUAACGGCCCACCAAGGCAACGAUCAUUAGGGGUUCUGAGAGGAAGGUCCCCCACACUGGAACUGAGACACGGUCCAGACUCCUACGGGAGGCAGCAGUGAGGAAUAUUGGUCAAUGGUCUGACGACUGAACCAGCCAUGCCGCGUGAAGGUCACGGCCCUAUGGGUCUUGAACUUCUUUUGUAAGGGAGCAAUAAGUCUCACGUGUGGGAUGAUGAGAGUACCUUACGAAUAAGCAUCGGCUAACUCCG